AAACUCAAAGGAAUUGACGGGGGCCCGCACAAGCGGCGGAGCAUGUUGCUUAAUUCGAUGCAACGCGAAGAACCUUACCAAGGUUUGACAUCACCCGGAUCGCUCCAGAGAUGGGGUUUCCCUUCGGGGCUGGGUGACAGGUGGUGCAUGGCUGUCGUCAGCUCGUGUCGUGAGAUGUUGGGUUAAGUCCCGCAACGAGCGCAACCCUCGUUCCAUGUUGCCAGCAUGCCCUUUGGGGUGGUGGGGACUCAUGGGAGACUGCCGGGGUCAACUCGGAGGAAGGUGGGGAUGACGUCAAGUCAUCAUGCCCCUUAUGCCUUGGGCUGCAAACAUGCUACAAUGGCCGGUACAGAGGGCGGCGAUACCGUAAGGUGGAGCGAAUCCCGUAAAGCCGGUCUCAGUUCGGAUUGGGGUCUGCAACUCGACCCCAUGAAGUCGGAGUCGCUAGUAAUCGCAGAUCAGCAACGCUGCGGUGAAUACGUUCCCGGGCCUUGUACACA
rnacentral:rRNA from 1 species